UGAGGAAUAUUGGUCAAUGGGCGGAAGCCUGAACCAGCCAAGUCGCGUGAAGGAUGAAGGUAUUAUGUAUUGUAAACUUCUUUAGCAGUGGAGAAAUAAGGGAGUCGAGACUCCUGAUGCUAGUACACUGAGAAUAAGGAUCGGCUAACUCCGUGCCAGCAGCCGCGGUAAUACGGAGGAUCCGAGCGUUAUCCGGAUUUAUUGGGUUUAAAGGGUGCGCAGGCGGCCUUGCAAGUCAGCGGUCAAACUUCGGGGCUCAACCCCGUUUUGCCGUUGAAACUGAUCGGCUGGAGUCUGUUCGAGGGACGCGGAAUGCGAGGUGUAGCGGUGAAAUGCAUAGAUAUCACGCAGAACUCCGAUUGCGAAGGCAGCGUCCCGGGGCGGCACUGACGCUGAGGCACGAAAGUGUGGGUAUCGAACAGGAUUAGAUACCCUGGUAGU
rnacentral:rRNA from 1 species